rnacentral:rRNA from 1 species
AUUGAACGCUGGCGGAAUGCUUUACACACGCAAGUCGAGCGGCAGCACGGGGGCAACCCUGGUGGCGAGCGGCGAACGGGUGAGUAAUACAUCGGAACAUGCCCAGUCGUGGGGGAUAACACUUCGAAAGAAGUGCUAAUACCGCAUACGUCCUGAGGGGGAAAGCGGGGGAUCGCAAGACCUCGCGCGAUUGGAGUGGCCGAUGUCAGAUUAGCUAGUUGGUGGGGUAAAGGCCUACCAAGGCAACGAUCUGUAGCUGGUCUGAGAGGAUGAUCAGCCACACUGGGACUGAGACACGGCCCAGACUCCUACGGGAGGCAGCAGUGGGGAAUUUUGGACAAUGGGGGCAACCCUGAUCCAGCCAUUCCGCGUGAGUGAAGAAGGCCUUCGGGUUGUAAAGCUCUUUCGGCAGGAACGAAACGGUGAGCUCUAACAUAGCUUGCUAAUGACGGUACCUGAAGAAGAAGCACCGGCUAACUACGUG